GACUGCAUAGCUCAGUUGGCAGAGCAUUGGGCUAUUAUUCCAAAGGUAGUAGGUUCGAUUCCCACCGUGGCCA
rnacentral:tRNA from 1 species